CUUGUACUCCCUCCGUCCGGAAAUACUUGACCUAAAAAUAAAUAUAAUGGAUGUAUCUAUAACUAAAAUAAGUCUAGAUUCAUCCAUUUUUAGGACAAGUAUUUUUAGACGGAGGGAGUAGUAC
rfam:Hordeum vulgare subsp. vulgare, WGS project CAJW01000000 data, contig: morex_contig_139203